UCAAUUGUUAGCUCAAUUAGUAGAGCAGUUGAAUUUUAAUCAAUUGGUUGCAGGUUCGAGCCGAGCGAAGCGAGACA
rnacentral:tRNA from 2 species